AACGACUCUCGGCAACGGAUAUCUCGGCUCUCGCAUCGAUGAAGAACGUAGCGAAAUGCGAUACUUGGUGUGAAUUGCAGAAUCCCGUGAACCAUCGAGUCUUUGAACGCAAGUUGCGCCCAAAGUCAUUUGGCUAAGGGCACGUCUGCCCGGGUGUCACGC
rnacentral:rRNA from 1 species